AUCCAGAACGGGAAUGAGGUUCUCCCACGAUUUUUGAUCGAAACCGCCAAAAGGCUGAUGACUUCUGUGCAUGG
rnacentral:ncRNA from 10 species